rnacentral:rRNA from 1 species
GACGAACGCUGGCGGCGUGCCUAAUACAUGCAAGUCGAACGAGAGCGACCGGUGCUUGCCUUGGUCAAUCUAGUGGCGAACGGGUGAGUAACACGUGGGUAACCUGCCCAUCAGAGGGGGAUAACAUCCGGAAACGGAUGCUAAAACCGCAUAUGUCUUCGAACCGCAUGGUUUGUAGAGGAAAAGAGGCGCAAACUUCUGCUGAUGGAUGGAGCCGCGGUGGAUUAGCUAGUUGGUGGGGUAACGGCUCACCAAGGCCGUGAUGCAUAGCCGUCCUGAGAGGGUGAUCGGCCACAUUGGAACUGAGACACGGCCCAAACUCCUACGGGAGGCAGCAGUAGGGAAUCUUCCGCAAUGGACGAAAGUCUGACGGAGCAACGCCGCGUGAGUGAAGAAGGUUUUCGGAUCGUAAAACUCUGUUGGUAGAGAAGAACAAGUGUUAGAGUAACUGUUAGCGCCUUGACGGUAGCUAACCAGAAAGCCACGGCUAACUACGUG